rnacentral:lncRNA from 1 species
UUCCAGGACAGCCAGGGCUGCACAGAGAAACCCUGUCUUGAAAAACCAAAAAAAAAAAAAAGAAAGGACUAAACAUUAUGUAGCAGUGCUUUACAUAGGGACUUAUUGACUCAAAAGUUGUAGAAAUUGAAAGCUAUUAUUAAAAGUUUUUGGCAGGCAUUGAAUAAGUAGCAGAUGAUAUGUAUCAUAAUUAUACAUAAUUCUUCUUAUAGGCAUGCUCAUAUACUCAUGAGCAGAUUGUAGAAAUGAUGGAAUUUUUGAUAGAGUAUGGCCCAGCUCAGCUAUAUUGGGAACCUGCUGAAGUCUUCCUCAAGCUUUCCUGUGUGCAGCUUUUACUACAGCUUAUUUCCAUCGCCUGCAAUUGGAAGACCUAUUAUGCAAGGUAGGACUAAAGGUUUCAUGAAGUUCAUAAGAUAUAACACAUAACACAUAAUGCACGUGUAACAAGCUAUUGUUGGAUUGAAGUUUUAGAUUUGACUCUGAGAAGGAAGUAGAUUAAGUAUGAGAGUGAUUUUUAUUUUCUUAUUAUUUAACUUGUUUUUUUUUUUAAUGUUGUUGUGUGUAUGCAGUUGUAUAAGCUUAUGUGCCUCACAUGUAAGUUCUUGAGGAGCUGACUAGGUCACCAAAUACCCUAGAAUUUAGAGUCAGACCGUUGUGAGAUGCCAUGAGGGUGAUGGGACUUGAACCUGGGUCCUCUGGAAGAACAGCCAGUGCUCUUAGCCCCUAAUCUACUAGAUUUUUCUAUACCAGAAAUUAAAAUGUAUAACUAUAUUGGAGUCCAAUCCAGGACCUUGCACAUGCUACCACUGAGGUACACAUCUAGGUUGUGUUUUUUUUUCUUCAUUUUUAUUGUUUAUGUGUAUGGAUAUUUAGUUUGCAUCUGGGUUUGUGUACAUGUAUGCAGUGUCCGUGGAGGCCAGAAAAGGACAUUGGAUGCUCUAGAGAUGGAAUUAUAAGAUGCUGUGUGUGUGCUUGGAAUCAAACCUGUGUCCUCUAAAAGAGCAGCCAAUGUUCUUAACUGCUGAGUCAUUUCUCCAGCCCUCACCUGUUAUUUUUUGAAACAGGGUUCUAUUAUAUAUAAUUAAAGUUGACUCUGAACUACCUAUUAAGGCCAGGUUAGCCUUGGCUUAGAUAAUUCUUUCUGCUUUACCUCUGAGUAAUAGGCAUAUAAUACUAUUUCCAGCUAUGUUCGUCUUUUUACAAUUUGCUUUUUCACAUUAAUAUUUAAAAUGCUGUAUUUCUGUACUGUUUAUUCAUGAUUGGUGUUUGAGGUUGUGGUGUGUAUAACACAGGUUAUAGCAUAUCUUCAUUUUCACCCUUAACUAGAUGUUGUAAAGCUGUAAAUGUGAUUGUAAAGUGAUCUUAAUAGUUUCCCACCUUAUAAAUGUUUGGUACUUGGUUUUAGAUUUGUGUUUUACAUUUUUUCUUUCACUUAUUUAUAUUUUGAAACCUUUCCUGUGAAAUCUGUUUUUUAAAAAAUAAUUUUCAGCAGUUACAGGGUAGUUUGCUGUCAUUGAUUUUUGGAAUAUUUUAGAUUUUAAGUGUUUAGAUUAGUUAGUGAUUCUCAACUAAUAGAUCCUAAGUAGUCUAAAAUCAGAAGGAAUGAAAUUUGAAGUGAUUUUGGUCCAGAGCAUUUUGGAUAAUGAAUUUUAGGAGAUACAUAAACACUUGUUUCUCCCUCUUUAUUGUUUUCUUUUUUGAGACAGGGUCUUGUGCUGGAGAUAGCUCAGUGGUUAAGAGACAGGCUCUCUCUACAUAGCUGUUCUGGAACUCACUCUAUAGACCAGGGUGACCUCAAAGUAACAGAGAUCCACCUGCCUCUGCCUCCUACAUGCUGGGAUUAAAGGUGUGGCUCACUGUCUGGCUCUAAGUAAGUUUAAAAAAGAAGACAAAAUUAUUU